rnacentral:rRNA from 1 species
UACGAAGGGGGCUAGCGUUGCUCGGAAUCACUGGGCGUAAAGCGCACGUAGGCGGCCAACUAAGUCGGAUGUGAAAUCCCCAGGCUUAACCUGGGAACUGCAUCCGAUACUGGAUGGCUUGAAUCCGGGAGAGGGAUGCAGAAUUCCAGGUGUAGCGGUGAAAUGCGUAGAUAUCUGGAGGAAUACCGGUGGCGAAGGCGGCAUCCUGGACCGGCAUUGACGCUGAGUGAGCGAAAGCCAGGGGAGCAAACGGG